rnacentral:rRNA from 1 species
AGCUGGAUAGCUAUGUCGAGAAGGGAUAAGCGCUGACAGCAUCUAAGCGCGAAGCCGCUCCCAAGAUGAGUCUUCCCACUUCGUUUGAGGAUAAGAUCCCAGGGAGAUUACCUGGUCGAUAGACCGUACGCAUACGCCUGGUAACAGGUUGAACGAAACGGCCCUAAUGAUCGAACGGCUUG